AUGCAGUCGAACGGUAACAGAUCUUUCGGGAUGCUGACGAGUGGCGCACGGGUGCGUAACGCGUAUGCAAUCUACCUCUAACUGGAGCAUAGCCCAUGGAAACGUGGAAUAAUACUCCAUAAUAUUAUAAUGCCUCAUGGUGUAAUAAUUAAAGCUUUGGCGGUUAGAGAUGAGCAUGCGUCCUAUUAGCUUGUUGGUGAGGUAACGGCUCACCAAGGCUACGAUAGGUAGGGGGUCUGAGAGGAUUAUCCCCCACACUGGUACUGAGACACGGACCAGACUCCUACGGGAGGCAGCAGUGAGGAAUAUUGGGCAAUGGACGAAAGUCUGACCCAGCCAUGCCGCGUGCAGGAUGACGGCCCUAUGGGUUGUAAACUGCUUUUAUAUGGGAAGAAACCCCCGAACGUGUUCGGGGCUGACGGUACCAUACGAAUAAGCAUCGGCUAACUCCGUGCCAGCAGCCGCGGUAAUACGGAGGAUGCAAGCGUUAUCCGGAUUCAUUGGGUUUAAAGGGUCCGUAGGCGGAUUUUUAAGUCAGGGGUGAAAGCCUACAGCUCAACUGUAGAAUUGCCUUUGAUACUGGGAGUCUUGAGUAUAGUUGAAGUGGGCGGAAUACGUCAUGUAGCGGUGAAAUGCAUAGAUAUGACGUAGAACACCGAUUGCGAAGGCAGCUCACUAAGCUAUAACUGACGCUGAGGGACGAAAGCGUGGGGAGCGAACAGGAUUAGAUACCCUGGUAGUCCACGCUGUAAACGAUGAUAACUCGCUGUUGGCGAUACA
rnacentral:rRNA from 1 species